rnacentral:rRNA from 1 species
UGGGGAAUAUUGCACAAUGGGGGAAACCCUGAUGCAGCGACGCCGCGUGAGUGAAGAAGUAUCUCGGUAUGUAAAGCUCUAUCAGCAGGGAAGAAAAUGACGGUACCUGACUAAGAAGCCCCGGCUAACUACGUGCCAGCAGCCGCGGUAAUACGUAGGGGGCAAGCGUUAUCCGGAAUUACUGGGGGUAAAGGGUGCGUAGGUGGUAUGGAAAGUCAGAAGUGAAAACCCAGGGCUUAACUCUGGGACUGCUUUUGAAACUGUCAGACUGGAGUGCAGGAGAGGUAAGCGGAAUUCCUAGUGUAGCGGUGAAAUGCGUAGAUAUUAGGAGGAACAUCAGUGGCGAAGGCGGCUUACUGGACUGAAACUGACACUGAGGCAAGAAAGCGUGGGGAGCAAACAGG